rnacentral:rRNA from 1 species
UAGCAUAUCAAUAAGCGGAGGAAAAGAAACCAACAGGGAUUGCCUUAGUAACGGCGAGUGAAGCGGCAACAGCUCAAAUUUGAAAGCUGGCUCCUUCGGAGUCCGCGUUGUAAUUUGUAGAGGAUGAUUCGGCGAGGGCUCCCGCCUAAGUCCCCUGGAACGGGGCGUCAUAGAGGGUGAGAAUCCCGUAUGCGGUGGGUUGCCUUAGCCAUGUGAAUCUCCUUCGACGAGUCGAGUUGUUUGGGAAUGCAGCUCUAAAUGGGAGGUAAAUUUCUUCUAAAGCUAAAUACCGGCCAGAGACCGAUAGCGCACAAGUAGAGUGAUCGAAAGAUGAAAAGCACUUUGGAAAGAGAGUUAAAAAGUACGUGAAAUUGUUGAAAGGGAAGCGCUUGCAGCCAGACUUGUCCGCAGUUGCUCAACCGGUCUCCUGACCGGUGUACUCUUCUGCGGCCAGGCCAGCAUCAGUUCGGGCGGUCGGAUAAAGGCCCUGGGAAUGUAGCUCCUCUCGGGGAGUGUUAUAGCCCAGGGUGGAAUGCGGCCAGCCUGGACUGAGGAUCUCGCUUCGGCUAGGAUGCUGGCGUAAUGGCUGUAAGCGGCCCGUCUUGAAACACGGACCAAGGAGUCUAACAUCUAUGCGAGUGUUUGGGUGUCAAACCCAUGCGCGUAAUGAAAGUGAACGGAGGUGGGAACCCUCACGGGUGCACCAUCGACCGAUCCUGAUGUCUUCGGAUGGAUUUGAGUAAGAGCAUAGCUGUUGGGACCCGAAAGAUGGUGAACUAUGCCUGAAUAGGGUGAAGCCAGAGGAAACUCUGGUGGAGGCUCGCAGCGGUUCUGACGUGCAAAUCGAUCGUCAAAUUUGGGUAUAGGGGCGAAAGACUAAUCGAACCAUCUAGUAGCUGGUUCCUGCCGAAU